CUACCCGCCGCUGCUUCACAGCUGCUCAAUGUUUUGAAACGACACACUUCCGGUGACAACAAGAGAGCAAUGCGAGACUUCCGAGAURAAAGAAAACAAUAUGAGAUGGAGGUAAUGUCGAGGAAACCCACCUCACCUGGACAGGUGUGACCAGAGCAGACCAACAGGAAGUAGCUGUCAGUUGAAGCUGCUUUGAUGUUCGUGCCGCUCAGAGAUCUGUUACCGAGUCAGAUGAACCACAGCGCUGGAGUUUUACACUUCACAGACUUCAAUGUGUCAGAGAUAAACACCAGAUGACAAACUGCACUGCUGGCAUCRCCUCUCUGAUGAUGCAGCACAAACACAUCAACAACUGCGCUCACAUAUGCUGCAGACGGCUGCAGUUCGCGGCCAGGCCAGCAGGGGGCAGCGGAGCGCUUCCAGACCUUCCUCUGGUCUGAGCAGCAUCACGCAGGAGAGAGAUGGAGAGCUGACACGGAACCAUCAGGAAGAGAAACGCAGCAUCUUUGUUUGGACUUCAUGAUGAAUUAAAUGAAACC